rnacentral:rRNA from 1 species
CCUACGGGGGGCAGCAGUGGGGGAUAUUGCACAAUGGGGGGAACCCUGAUGCAGCGACGCCGCGUGGGUGAAGAAGGGCCUCGGCGCGUAAAGCCCUGUCAGCAGGGAAGAAAAUGACGGUACCUGAAGAAGAAGCCCCGGCUAACGACGUGCAAGCAGCCGCGGGAAUACGGAGGGGGCAAGCGUUAUCCGGAUUUACGGGGGGGAAAGGGGGCGCAGACGGCGAUGCAAGCCAGGUGUGAAAGCCCGGGGGCCAACCCCGGGACUGCUGUUGGAACUGCGUGGCUGGAGUGCAGGAGGGGCAGGCGGAAUGCCUGGUGUAGCGGUGAAAUGCGUAGAUAUCAGGAAGAACACCGGUGGCGAAGGCAGCCUGCUGGACUGCAACUGACGUUGAGGCCCGAAAGCGUGGGUAGCGAACAGGAUUAGAUACCCCAGUAGUC